rnacentral:lncRNA from 1 species
UAUAAAAGACUAGAUGGGACAUUGGCAGUGUUUUAGUGCGUGCGACUGGCCGCCAUGUUUGUGAGGGCGGGAAUCUGCGGCGCUGUGUAAACACUACGGGAGGAGGGGGGUAUUUGAGACUGAUUUUGUGGUAUUUUUCGACCGAAAAGUGCUAAUCUUUUUUGCUCACGGCAUUCUUUGGAAUGUGUAGAUUGUGGAACAAGUGCUGAAAUAUGCUUAUCUAUUGUAAUUUGGCUACGUUAGCCUUAGACAUGUUGCACUGUUGACGCUGAUGAAGAAUAGGCGGCACCAAAGGUGGCUGGAACAACCCCAGUGCCGCACAGUUCUGCGGGAUAUUCCGGCACCUGCUCCACCGCUGCGGCGUCCGGCCCGGCAGCACAGGGAAAGUGGCAGCCCUCGACCCGACCAGCAUCCUGGCAGUCGGUCACACGACCAGCGGACGGGGAGCCAGCCUUACUACCUCGGCCUCCACCACCUCAGACAACGGUGCCACGGCACUCCACAUCAUCACGGAGCACGACUUCCAGCCUGGGCUGUCGUCUGGUGGGCAACAUCGUCACCUACAUCGCAGGGUUCGUGGUGAAGAAGGCGCUCGACUCUGUCAGCUGUAGCACCUGUCAGGAGGCCCUGGUGAGCGACAUCCAGCCGGACGACAUGACACAGCUUUACCACCUCUUCAUCAUCUCUGCCAGAUGAGCUAAGGUGGGGACGGGUUACAUGCCUGGGAUCUGACUGAGACCCGCUCAUACCCUGCCGAAGUGUUGGUGAUUUCAGCGGUCAGCUGUCUCUAGCCGGUGUCAGUGAGUCGCGGCCAAGCUGCCGCUGGAGUGGGUAUCUACCGUCGAUAGCUGCUGUGUGGCGGAUAGCGUGGAUUUGGAUGGACACUUCAUAUUAAUGAACAGAUCAAUGUCUGGCCGAUAAAAGACGUAUUUUGUCGAUGAUUGCUUAGUGACUGAGUGGGUCCACUGGCGACCAAUGCAGUGGGCGCUGGGUUAACGCCUCGCCUCUUGUGACCGUGUCGAUAUGUAGCACUGUUAAUUGCCGAUUCGUUGCCGGCCGUCUCUGCUCCGUGGCUGGCUGAUCCGGCACAAACUGGUGUUCGUGGCUGAAGGCGCGGCUACAGUUACACUAGCUCGCCACGUGCCUGUGCGACUAUCGUCGGUGCUGUCUGCAAGGGCGAUGUCGGUGCCUGUAGGGGGCGCGGAUUGAUUCAAAGUGAGGAAUGGGUCGUCGGAGCUCGGGUCAGGUCAUGUUCGGCUAAAAUAAGCGGAUUUUGCGAUUUACCGCAUCCGGGUGAAUUUCCUUGCCUUCUAGUGCAUGUUUAUGCAUUUUACAUGCGUUUUUUUAGUGUUGAUGUCUAGAUAACGUGCAUUUGCCUCGAGGUCAAGGCUGCGCUUCAUAUGGGCAGUUUUCGGAGCAUCUUGGCCAUUUUAUUCGUAAUCCUUAAUUAUGUUUGCGGAUUUGUGCCCGCAAAUCAUUUUUUAAAGUAAGAUUGACACGGGAUUCGAGAUCGGCGCCCAUAAAUACACUUCACAUGACCCGCCAUGUGUCAAGGCCAUCCGAGGUCAUCUAAGGUCGCUGACCUCGUAUGACCUUAUGUGACCCGGUUCGCUAGAUUUCGAGAUGAGGUUGAUUGGGAAUGAUGUAACCCAUUUCGCCGACAGUUCACGCGUUUUGGUCGAUUUUAUAGCGAAAGAUCUCAAACUCCAGUGACUUUACUGGUUCGAUUUCCAGUGUUUGACCUGACCUCUGAGUUCACCCGUUGACCUAGUACCCUGAAAUUUGGUAUCACUGGUUUACUCACAUCGCGGACAGCAUACCUAUUUUUUUCCGUUCUUGCUCCGUCGAGGGGCGAACGGCUGGAGUUCACUCCGUUCACCCUGGCUUCCCCCACUCGUAAGACGCUGACAAACUACGAACGGGUGAGGGCUAAAAUUGCACUUAUUGUCGAUCAUUGUCCAUUGCAUACUGCAUACAUAGAUAUAAAGUAUGGUAGCCAUAAUGGGAAACGAAUUUAAUCUUAAAUUAGCAUGCCAAUUGCAUCUACCUUCGGUGCCGCAUAUCCUUUAUCAGCGUCUUCAGGGCUAUAUGUCUAGGGCUGAUGUAAUUACAUUACUAUAAAUACACAUGUUUCUGCCCUUGUUUCACAA